GUAGGUGAACCUGCGGAAGGAUCAUUAACACGAAAUUUUUAAUUAAAUCUAAAAAACCCAAAAUGUCAACUUAUUAUUAUUAUCCCUAAUUAAUGUAUUCGUAUAUAUAAUAUAAUUAUAUAUGCCGAUUCCUUUUUUAGGCUAACUUUUUAUAAUUAUUUUUAUUAUAAUACCACUUCAAUGUUUUUUUUCUUUCUAAAAACAUUCAACUCUCGUUGUUUCACUCAUCAUCAUCAUCAUCAUCAUCCAU
rnacentral:misc_RNA from 1 species